CGUCAAUAAAACUGCUGGCGAAGAUUGAAAUGUCAAAGUAAAGUAAUCAACGAGCUAUUUAUUUAAACAAAAUUUAUGUUAAGUACGGACGUAUUUUAAUAAUACAUAAAUGUGAAUAUAUGCAAGAAAUGGUUGUGAAAAAUUAUAAAUUGUUUACCGAAUGUUACAGAUGAACGUUAUUUAGUUAAAUCAACUAAAAAAUCGGAGAGAAUGAAGUUUCAAGUAAUUAUAGCUAUACUUAUCUAUAUGUUAAUUACAACUAAUUCUGAAGAUAUAUCAAAGAACGAAAAUAAUCUAGAAGCGACGGACAAUCAAGGCAAGAUUGGUAAUAAUACCGAUGGCUAUAAAACAACUGACAGCUCCAGAAAAUCAAAAUCGUUUAUAAAAUCGCAUUCAAUUUGCCCAAUGGAUUACAAGCUUGUUGGACGUAUUUGCAUUCCAAAAUAGUAGGUUCCAACUACGUAGGUUAAAGUGUACUUGUCUUUUUAUAUUGUUGAAAUGUCGAUACAAAUAUGAUUAAUGUUUUGUUUAAUAAAUAUAUUUAUUUGUUCUUUAAAUUUAUUAUUAUUACUCUGUAUUUGGUUGUGUAUUGUAUAUUUAUUUAAGAAAAGGAUUAUGUCGUUUUCUGAACAAAAACGUGAAAAACUAUACCACAAUUCUGUCUUAAAAUUGUAACAAUUCCAAUUGUGAUUUGUUUGUCAGAUUUUUUUGUUGAUUGAAAAAUAUUUAAAAUGAAA